rnacentral:rRNA from 1 species
GGGCGCAAGCCUGAUCCAGCAAUGCCGCGUGCAGGAUGAAGGCCUUCGGGUUGUAAACUGCUUUUGUACGGAACGAAAAGCCCUGGGUUAAUACCCUGGGGUCAUGACGGUACCGUAAGAAUAAGCACCGGCUAACUACGUGCCAGCAGCCGCGGUAAUACGUAGGGUGCGAGCGUUAAUCGGAAUUACUGGGCGUAAAGCGUGCGCAGGCGGUUUUGUAAGACAGAGGUGAAAUCCCCGGGCUCAACCUGGGAACUGCCUUUGUGACUGCAAGGCUAGAGUACGGCAGAGGGGGAUGGAAUUCCGCGUGUAGCAGUGAAAUGCGUAGAUAUGCGGAGGAACACCGAUGGCGAAGGCAAUCCCCUGGGCCUGUACUGACGCUCAUGCACGAAAGCGUGGGGAGCAAACAGGAUUAGAUACCCUGGUAGUCCACGCCCUAAACGAUGUCAACUGGUUGUUGGGUCUUAACUGACUCAGUAACGAAGCUAACGCGUGAAGUUGACCGCCUGG